rnacentral:rRNA from 1 species
GCAAGAUUAAAACUCAAAGGAAUAGACGGGGACCCGCACAAGUGGUGGAGCAUGUGGUUUAAUUCGAAGAUACGCGAAGAACCUUACCUAGCUUUGACAUUGAUAGAAUCUUCCAGAGAUGGAGGAGUGCCUUUCGGGGAACUUGAAAACAGGUGCUGCACGGCUGUCGUCAGCUCGUGUCGUGAGAUGUUGGGUUAAGUCCCGCAACGAGCGCAACCCUCGUCAUUAGUUACUAACAGUUCGGCUGAGGACUCUAAUGAGACUGCCUUCGUAAGGAGGAGGAAGGUGAGGACGACGUCAAGUCAUCAUGGCCCUUACGGCUAGGGCGACACACGUGCUACAAUGGUUAGGACAAUGAGAAGCGAUACCGCGAGGUGGAGCAAAUCUAUAAACCUAAUCUCAGUUCGGAUUGUAGUCUGCAACUCGACUACAUGAAGCUGGAAUCACUAGUAAUCGUAGAUCAGCCAUGCUACGGUGAAUACGUUCCCGGGUCUUGUACUCACCGCCCGUCACACCAUGGGAGUUGAUUUCACCCGAAGCGGGGAAGCUAAACUGGCUACCCUCCACGGUGGAAUUAGCGACUGGGGUGAAGUCGUAACAAGGUA